AAAGUCGUAACAAGGUUUCCGUAGGUGAACCUGCGGAAGGAUCAUUAGAAAAUUAAAACCAUAAGAGUUUUUCUUUCGUAAGAAGGAAAGCUCAUAUGAACCUUGUGUGCUCUGUUAUAACGUCUUGACGUUCAGAAGUUUUCCGGUGGUUUAAAGUUGGCAUUUUCUUUUAGGAAAUGUUGACCCGCCGGAAAGUGGAGGACUGUCAAUCUAUAAAACCCCUUUAUUAAAGCCUUGACUGAAGUUAAAUCUACCAUUUUAUUAUGAUAGAAGAAAUUGUAAAAUUAAAUACAACUUUCAACAACGGAUCUCUUGGCUCUC
rnacentral:misc_RNA from 1 species